CCUACGGGAGGCAGCAGUGGGGAAUAUUGGACAAUGGGCGAAAGCCUGAUCCAGCAAUGCCGCGUGAGUGAUGAAGGCCUUAGGGUUGUAAAGCUCUUUUACCAGGGAUGAUAAUGACAGUACCUGGAGAAUAAGCUCCGGCUAACUCCGUGCCAGCAGCCGCGGUAAUACGGAGGGAGCUAGCGUUGUUCGGAAUUACUGGGCGUAAAGAGUACGUAGGCGGUUAUUCAAGUCAGAGGUGAAAGCCCGGGGCUCAACCCCGGAACUGCCUUUGAAACUAGAUAGCUAGAGUCUUGGAGAGGUUAGUGGAAUUCCGAGUGUAGAGGUGAAAUUCGUAGAUAUUCGGAAGAACACCAGUGGCGAAGGCGACUAACUGGACAAGUACUGACGCUGAGGUACGAAAGCGUGGGGAGCAAACAGGAUUAGAUACCCUGGUAGUCCACGCCGUAAACGAUGAUAACUAGUUGUUCGGGCACUUGGUGCCUGAGUGACGCAGCUAACGCAUUAAGUUAUCCGCCUGGGGAGUACGGUCGCAAGAUUAAACUCAAAUGAAUUGACG
rnacentral:rRNA from 1 species